AACGAACGCUGGCGGCAGGCUUAACACAUGCAAGUCGAGCGCCCCGCAAGGGGAGCGGCAGACGGGUGAGUAACGCGUGGGAACGUACCCUUUGCUACGGAAUAGCUCCGGGAAACUGGAAUUAAUACCGUAUGUGCCCUACGGGGGAAAGAUUUAUCGGCAAAGGAUCGGCCCGCGUUGGAUUAGCUAGUUGGUGGGGUAAUGGCCUACCAAGGCGACGAUCCAUAGCUGGUCUGAGAGGAUGAUCAGCCACAUUGGGACUGAGACGCGGCCCAAACUCCUACGGGAGGCAGCAGUGGGGAAUAUUGGACAAUGGGCGCAAGCCUGAUCCAGCCAUGCCGCGUGAGUGAUGAAGGCCUUAGGGUUGCAAAGCUCUUUCACCGGAGAAGAUAAUGACGGUAUCCGGAGAAGAAGCCCCGGCUAACUUCGUGCCAGCCGCCGCCGUAAAAC
rnacentral:rRNA from 1 species